UCUUUCUUUCUCCUUCAUACAACAACUACUCCAACUUUUAUCAACACAUAUGACCUUAAAUUAGAACCUGAAGAGGCCCCUCCCAGCCAGCUGCUCUUGAGUUGACACCAUUAGGUUUGCCAGCCACUGUACAGGAAGUGUUUAAGCGCUUCCCUUUCUUUUCCAGACCUCAGUCAGCUUAGCAAACCCAUCAGUAUAGUUCUAUUACUAACAGUGAGACUGUGUGUAAUCUGAUGCCAGAUUACAACAGUUUACAUCCCUAAAACCGUGACAUCGAGAUUGGCCGGAAGGACUUUUGAGCAACUAUUUUAUGCUGAGGAAUUAAAAAUGAUCGGUUUUCUCUUUCUCUGUUGCCUAGCAGGUGUGUGUCUGGGUCUUGAUGUCCGUCAGUCUCCCUCUGAUCUCAUCACCAAAUCUGGAGACAAAGUGGAGAUAUUCUGCAGCCAUGAUAAAACUGACUACAGGGUGAUGCUCUGGUACCAGCGCUCACCUGGAGACACGGCUAUCAAACUCAUUGGAUAUUUGAACUUUCAAGCUGUCACAAAGGAAGAGCCAUAUGAAGAGCAUUUCGAUAUCAUUGGAGAUUUGGGGGGAAAUACAGCAAAGAACGCCUCUCUUAAAAUCAAACUUUUAGAACAAGAGCACAGUGCUGUUUACUACUGUGCAGCUAGAGAAGCACGCUGACAAAUAUCCC